CUCCUCUCUCUCUCUGUUUCUCCUGAAUUCCCGGGAAACUCGAGAUCAUACCUGCUCCGGAGCAUUGCUACUGUGAAUCAACACGGGAAAUAUACUCCGCUUGGAACGCCUCCAUUUGAUUGUGAAGGAUUCUUGUAGCACAACCGGUAACCAUUGACAACCGUACGAAUCUUAACUCUUAAUGAUUUCGCAGCUGAGGUCUUUGUGGAGGCUGGUUGACAAAGAAGCAGUGAAGCCCUCGACAAACAAAAGCAUAACCGCAGUUCAUGUAGUACCAAGGUAACUUGGAGCACCAAUGGAACCGAACACGCCAAUGACAAAACUAAGGAAGGCGGAAAAUGGGAAGAACUUAUGACACCCACAACAAAACACAUGUAAACAAUGACUUAGAAGUAUCAUAUCAUCUUCAUCUUG
rnacentral:lncRNA from 1 species